GAGAUUCUGUCGCCGGGCAGACAAAAGCGUUGUAUUCCACAUCGAUAGGCCGUUGGAGAUGUGGAAUGACAGCGCUUUUCUUUU
rnacentral:ncRNA from 1 species